GAUGAAGAACGUAGCGAAAUGCGAUAAGUAAUGUGAAUUGCAGACUUCAGUGAAUCAUCGAAUCUUUGAACGCACAUUGCGCCCGCCAGUAUUCUGGCGGGCAUGCCUGUCCGAGCGUCAUUUCAACCCUCGAACCCCUCCGGGGGGUCGGCGUUGGGGAUCGGCCCUUUCACCGGGUGCCGGCCCCUAAAUACAGUGGCGGUCUCGCCGCAGCCUCUCAUGCGCAGUAGUUUGCACACUCGCACCGGGAGCGCGGCGCGUCCUCGUCCGUAAAACACCCCAAACUUCUGAAAUGUUGACCUCGGAUCAGGUAGGAAUACCCGCUGAACUUAAGCAUAUCAAUAAGCGGAGGA
rnacentral:misc_RNA from 1 species